rnacentral:lncRNA from 1 species
UGACUGCCACCUUGUGAGCUAAGCCUGGCAAGACCUUUGGGCUACACUUCCCUCCUCACUGUGAGCUGUGGCUUGGGCAGGCUCAAAGGGGCCCACUCACUCUGCAGAUGUGCCUCAGGGACAUGGAUGACUCUGCCAGCUGCACUUGAGGGCAAAAUAAUCAUUUACAGCUUCCCAGGCUACACCUCUUGGACAUACACAUUGGAGGAAACAGAUGUCUGCUGUAAAAUUAACAAGAGCACUUCUACAUCCAGACAGUGAUGAAUAAACUCAAAGGAAAGGAAAAUCAUUUGGCAACCGGAAGGUGUGGGAGGAUAGCUGUAAAUGAAACUGACGGCAAAAAACAGAGCAGAGAAGUUUAAAGAAAAAAAAUAACAGCAUUCCUGGUGAUGCCCCAUUGGGCCAAUGAAACAAACACAUUCUGAAGCCUUUCCUAACCAGGAGCCAACCAAUCUCAUCACUGUGAAGCCAGAAAACCCUAUCUAUUGAAGAUGACUGCUUUCUUCUACUGUAGCUGGCAAUUUUAUGAAAUGAAGAAAAUUUGCUCUAGUUGCAAGUGACACACACCUCUUAAAUGUCUGCUAUCAAUUAAAAGUAAAAUACUGGUUACUUGCAACUAUCAAUUAGAUACAAUGCACUCCAGGAGAUCAGGAGCCUUGGCAUUCAGACAUAGGAGCAUUUUUUUGGCUUUGCCAUUUACUUGCAAUGUGACCUUGGAUAACUAAAGCAGCACAAGGCUUAAGUUAAGGGAAAAGAGCAAACGACUGACGGGAAAGCCCACGUCACCAGGAUUCCUUAGAUUCCUACCUGACAAAAUAUUUCAUGUUUCUUGUGUAGCACAUAGCUAUUCUAAUGAACUGGUCAGCUGAGCUGGAGAUGUUUUUACCAUUUAAACAAGAUCUACAAUGUUCCAUAGGGAAGGCUCAUGCAUUCCUUAUAGUGUCAAGAUGAAAGAAAAACUGCAGAGAAGGUGAAAGCUGGAAAGUGAAACAGAGUAAUAAGUACUGAAAAAUGUCUUCGCUCAAAGGCACAGAGUUUCUCUCUUUCAUUCUUUCUGCUAACCCAUGACCAGAUGAACAGGUGUAGACUUGCUCAACGGGAUGACAUGUGGCAGAAAACAUUUUCACUUCAAAGGUGCAAACCAUAUUUGACAUUCAACAGCUUUUCAUUGCGGUAGGUGGAAGAGGAAAUUAAACUUUACCUCAGCUUGUUACAAUUCAUUGGUCGUGCUCUGACACGGUAAUUAUCCUUUGCUCCUAACCAAGACUCCCCAAUCCAAUCAUCACAUAUGGGAUGGAAGGGGGACUGCAGGGGUUUCUCUAACCUCCUUGGACCUGCCUGCAAAGCACAGAAGGGUUUUAGAAAGAAGCCCCGGGGUGGAGUGCUCAUGUGGCUGGCAUGAGAAUACCUGACUUUCUGUUGGCACCUGGCAUUACAACGCCUUUACUUCAUCUUGGGUUAGUGCGCCUAAAGCUUCAGGUAAAUCACAAAUAACUCAUCAGGAAAAAGGCUGGGACCUCUGUUUUACUAUAUUCCCAGCUCACAGCUUCCAGUAGACCUGGGAGAAAAACCCUCAAAUAUGCCAACUACUUUAAACCAAAAUACUCAAGAAGUUCCUGGAGCCUUAGAAGUUUAACACUAAUUCAUUACUGGAUUUAAACAGCUUCUUCCCACGUACUUCCCUAAAAGGCUCCAUUCUCCACUCCACUCCAGUUCUCCAAGUAUAAGAAGUGACAUUUCAAGCAUUGUGCCUGUUAUUAAACUCCUUGCAGCAUAAAAAUAUUUCAAAUCAACUACAGGAAAAUUGCAAGAUUAUUUUAUUGUGCGCAAGAUGGCUUUUAGGACUGGUGGAAAGUUCCACAAAUGAAGUGCAGACUCAGAUGCCUGGGAUGUGUUUGUGAGUGAGAGUCUCUUUGCUGGACAUGCUGCCGCAGAUGAAGCUAUUGCUGGAUGUGAUUUCAGGACUUCAGGGAGGAGAGCUCUCCAGGUGUGUUGCCACCUGGUGGCAAGGGCUCCCAAGUCAUGCCCAUCACAGCAAGACUGCCCGUAACCUCAGAGAACCACAGUCCUAUUCUACAUAUAAAUUCAAUACAUAAUAGCUAUUAUUAUUAAUUACCACACAAUGUGAACAUGCUUGCUUUUUAAAAUAAUUUCUGGCUGUUUUCUAGAUUUUUAGUGGCAAGGGUAUGAAGGCUACUGGUCCUGUGCCACAGAGAAGCCCUGUCCUGGGAAGGGAUGACAAGUGACUCCUUAGGUCAGGUUUAGUGUGUGUCUGUCCACUUCUUGCACCAUUGUCACCCUCCUGGGAUGCACCCAUGUGUGUUGAUGUGAUUUCUGUCACUCUUCCCUGUGUGACCACAAGCUCCAUGACAUGACAGCUCCCUGUCAACUUCCACUCCUCUCUGUACUCCAUACCUAACACAUAGUGGGCAUUCAAUCAAUAUUCACUCAUUGAGUAAAGUUAUGAAGAAAAAAUAAUGGCAUAUAUUAAGAAAAUUCUUGGCAGACAUCAUUUUGUGUGCUAUGCUUUGCUGAAAAGCUUCACAUAAGCAAUUUAAAAAUAUAACUUAUUGGCUGGGCAUGGUGGCUCACACCUAUAAUCCCAGCACUUUAGGAGGCCAAGGUGUAUGGAUCACCUGAGAUCAGGAGUUCGAGACCAGCCUGGCCAACAUAGUGAAACCCCAUCUCUACUAAAAAUACAAAAACUAGCUGGGCGUGGUGGUGUGCACCUGUAAUCCCAGCUACUUGAGAGGCCGAGGCAGGUGAAUCGCUUGAACCUAAGAGGUGGAGGUUGCAGUGAGCCGAGAUCAUGCCAUUGCACUCCAGCCUGGGCAACAAGAGCAAAACUCUGUCUCAAUAAAUAAAUAAAUAACUCUUGCUCCAAAAUGGAUUCAGAACAUUUACCCCCACAGAACUCAGAGACAUGCUACACUUAGAACUCACAAAAACAGUUUCUAUAAGAUAAGGAAUGGUUAGAAAGCAAUCUUUAAUUCACAUUAAAAAUAUAAAAUUUAUGCUGUAAAACUAGUUGUUUUUAUCCCAAUAAUCAUAAGGAGAUGAUGAUCUGAUUCCUGGAGCUGCUGAUAACCACCUCC